AGAUUGAACGCUGGCGGCAGGCCUAACACAUGCAAGUCGAGCGGUAGAGAGGUGCUUGCACCUCUUGAGAGCGGCGGACGGGUGAGUAAUGCCUAGGAAUCUGCCUAGUGGUGGGGGAUAACGGUUCGGAAACGGACGCUAAUACCGCAUACGUCCUACGGGAGAAAGCGGGGGACCUUCGGGCCUCGCGCCAUUAGAUGAGCCUAGGUCGGAUUAGCUAGUUGGUGAGUAAUGGUUCACCGAAGGCGACGAUCCGUAACUGGUCUGAGAGGAUGAUCAGUCACACUGGAACUGAGACACGGUCCAGAC
rnacentral:rRNA from 1 species